GUGAGGAAUAUUGGGCAAUGGAGGCAACUCUGACCCAGCCAUGCCGCGUGCAGGAUGACGGCCCUCUGGGUUGUAAACUGCUUUUAUACGGGAAGAAAAAAUACUACGUGUAGUAUACUGACGGUACCGUAAGAAUAAGGAUCGGCUAACUCCGUGCCAGCAGCCGCGGUAAUACGGAGGAUCCAAGCGUUGUCCGGAUUUAUUGGGUUUAAAGGGUGCGUAGGCGGAUCUUUAAGUCAGUGGUGAAAGCCUGCAGCUUAACUGUAGAAUUGCCAUUGAAACUGAAGAUCUUGAAUGUGGUUAAAGUAGGCGGAAUGUAUCAUGUAGCGGUGAAAUGCUUAGAUAUGAUACAGAACACCGAUAGCGAAGGCAGCUUGCUGAACCAUUAUUGACGCUGAGGCACGAAAGCGUGGGGAGCGAACAGGAUUAGAAACCCGUGUAGUCC
rnacentral:rRNA from 1 species